rnacentral:rRNA from 1 species
CCUACGGGAGGCAGCAGUGGGGAAUUUUGGACAAUGGGCGAAAGCCUGAUCCAGCCAUUCCGCGUGCAGGAUGAAGGCCCUCGGGUUGUAAACUGCUUUUGUACGGAACGAAAAGGCUCUCUCUAAUACAGGGGGCUUAUGACGGUACCGUAAGAAUAAGCACCGGCUAACUACGUGCCAGCAGCCGCGGUAAU